UACGGGGGGGGCAAGCGUUGUUCGGAAUUACUGGGCGUAAAGGGCUCGUAGGCGGCCAACUAAGUCAGACGUGAAAUCCCUCGGCUUAACCGGGGAACUGCAUCUGAUACUGGAUGGCUUGAGUUCGGGAGAGGGAUGCGGAAUUCCAGGUGUAGCGGUGAAAUGCGUAGAUAUCUGGAGGAACACCGGUGGCGAAGGCGGGUCUCUGGGCCGAAAUUGACGCUGAGGAGCGAAAGCGUGGGGAGCGAACAGG
rnacentral:rRNA from 1 species